rnacentral:rRNA from 1 species
GAUGAACGCUGGCGGCGUGCCUAAUACAUGCAAGUCGAGCGAACAGACGAGGAGCUUGCUCCUCUGACGUUAGCGGCGGACGGGUGAGUAACACGUGGAUAACCUACCUAUAAGACUGGGAUAACUUCGGGAAACCGGAGCUAAUACCGGAUAAUAUAUUGAACCGCAUGGUUCAAUAGUGAAAGACGGUUUUGCUGUCACUUAUAGAUGGAUCCGCGCCGCAUUAGCUAGUUGGUAAGGUAACGGCUUACCAAGGCAACGAUGCGUAGCCGACCUGAGAGGGUGAUCGGCCACACUGGAACUGAGACACGGUCCAGACUCCUACGGGAGGCAGCAGUAGGGAAUCUUCCGCAAUGGGCGAAAGCCUGACGGAGCAACGCCGCGUGAGUGAAGAAGGUCUUCGGAUCGUAAAACUCUGUUAUUAGGGAAGAACAAAUGUGUAAGUAACUAUGCACGUCUUGACGGUACCUAAUCAGAAAGCCACGGCUAACUACGUG